GAAGUCCUGGCUCCUAGCGGCAUCGGGAGGUCUGGGGUCUCCGGCCAGUACCUCCGCUACGAAACCCACGCGGCUAGCGGAGAAAGCAGAAGUGAAAACCUCUUGGGAGACAGGGCCUUGAUGUUGUCCGGCUGCUGCGACCAGUGUGGAAAAAUCCCUCAAGAGCCCAGGGUCAGAGAAAAGGGAAGAAGGAAAAUUAGCAGGAAGAAAUGGAAUAGAGAAAAGGGAAAGGAAAGAAGCCUGGAGCCCAGGUGAGGGCCUGCUCCUCUCUGACUCAGACCCGGGGGAGGAGGUAGGGUGAAGAGAGGCAUCAGUAAGUACUGCUUCUGAUCUUGGCCUCCUUCUCAAGGAGGAAAGGAGAUAAAGUAACAGGACAAAGCUUAAUGAGCUCCAAACAGGACAAAGCUUAAUGAGCUCCAAACAAUGAGUAAAGGAUAACACAUUAAGAAGUAAAAUAGACAGGAACCACCCCACCACCCACCACCCAGUUUUCAUGAGUAAAUCACAUCUGUACAUGAAACAAUUUGAGAUUACAAAAAAAA